rnacentral:rRNA from 1 species
AUGGUAGGUUCUUGCACAUGUAAGUUGUUUGAGACGCAUGGUAUCCCAUGUCGUCAUCUGAUCCAUGUCCUAAGAACAGCCCAGCUAAAUGAACUACCAAAGCAUUAUGUACUCAAAAGGUUUAGAAAGGACUGCAAAACCGAGCCAGUCUUUGACGAGGAUGGCAUUCUAUUGGAAGGCAAUGAGAGCAGUUCAGUUGAUCCGGAGAUACAAAAAUUAGCUUCAGAAACAUUUAAGAAGAUGGAAGACCUUUUAGUACAAGCGAAGCAAUCUCAGGUCAGCAUGCAAUUCUUGAGAGAUCACAUUUUUGCACUUGGAGAGCAAUUGUCUACCCAAGUUCUAGCGAAAAAACAAACUCAAACAGAAGAAUUUGAGGAAUUUUUAGGUUGUUCUAUUCCAAGUGAGGUUCAUAUCCAUCCUCCAAAUGAUAUUUGA